CGAAAUAGAAGCCCGCUGGAUUGGGUGAUUAGCUGUUAACUAAUUUUUUUGCGGGAUCAAGGCCCGCCUAUUUAG
rnacentral:tRNA from 1 species